AUGUACUCAACACAGAUACAGUAAGCGAUGCCUGAAUGUUGCUUUACUCUGUUGGCAUAUUAAAUCAAGGGGCUUAUUCACUAAACCAUGUGUGUGGCAAUUUGACGGCAACAUGUAGUUUAGAAGAAUCUAGUUGCGAGCCAUCUCCAACACAUUCCUUAUAACUUGACUAUUUAUUUCUAGUUUAUACAUUUUGCAAGAGAAUUGUCAGCUCUCAACAUACUCCCUGUUUAAAGGGACACUAUAGUCUCCAAAAAAACUUUAGCUUAAUGAAGCAGUUCUGGUGUAUAGAUCAUGCCACUGCAGUUUCACUGCUCAAUUC